UACGUAGGGCGCGAGCGUUGUCCGGAAUUAUUGGGCGUAAAGAGCUUGUAGGUGGUUUGUCGCGUCUGCUGUGAAAAUCCGAGGCUCAACCUCGGACUUGCAGUGGGUACGGGCAGACUAGAGUGUGGUAGGGGAGAGUGGAAUUCCUGGUGUAGCGGUGAAAUGCGCAGAUAUCAGGAAGAACACCCGUGGCGAAGGCGGCUCUCUGGUACGUGACUGACGCUGAGACGCGAAAGCGUGGGGAGCAAACAGG
rnacentral:rRNA from 1 species